CAAGGUUUAGGGCCCAAGGCUGCAGGAAGACAUGGUGAAAUGUUUAGCCAGAAUAACUGAAAACAAUGUCAUUAAGAAUAAAAAGUAAAAAUUGCGAUCAAGAAAAAAAGCAGAAACCAGACCUAGAGAAGCAGUUGCAAACCUCAGGUUUUAGAAGAGAUACAUGUCUGAAGAAAUAAGAUGAUUAACAGCAUUCAAGGUGGUGGCUACACAUCACAUCAGCCUGGAUUCUCAAGUAGGAAGAUAUGCAACAGAGCAUCCAGCUGACCUUCACUGGAUAUGUUGUAUGAACAAGAAGUAAACUUC
rnacentral:lncRNA from 1 species